AACAUCUUUGUUUGUAUGUGGUGCUGAGGUUCGAACCCGGGCAGCACGCAUGCCAGAUGGGCGCGCUACCGCUUGAGCCACAUCCCCAGCCCCAUGGAAGGUUUUUAUUUCAUCAUCAAAUCUAGUUUUGCUGGAUAUAAGAUUCUUGGUUGGCAUCCAUUUUCUUUCAGAGCUUGAUAUAUGUUGUUCCAAGAUCUUCUAAUUUUUAGAGUCUAGGUUGAAAAAUCUGCAUACAAUUUAAUUGGUUUCCUCCUAUAUGUAAUCUGAUUCCUUUCUUUUGUGACUUUUAUAAUUCUCUCCUUUAUGCUAGGCAUUUUCAUUAUAAUGUGCCUUGAUGUGAAUUUAUUGUGAUUUUGUACAUUUGACAUCUUGUAGGCUUCUUAAAUUUGGUUUUCCAAUUCAUUCUUCAUGUUUGGAAAGUUUUCUGAUAUUAUUUCAUUGAAUAGAUUGUUCAUUCCUUUUGUUUGGAACUCUAUGCUUUCCUCUGUCACAAUAACUCUUUGGUCUUUUUAUGCUAUUCCAUAUUUCUUGAAUGUUCUGCUCAUAAUUUCUUACCAUUUUCUUCACAGUGUGGUCUAUAUUCUUUUCAGUUUAUAUAUUUUUUCUUCAUUAUCUGAGGUCCUAUCUUCCAAGUGGUCUACUCUGUUGGUGAUGCUUUCAUUUGAACUUUUAAUUUGGUUUAUUGUUUCUUUCAUUUCAAGAAUUUCUGUUUGGUGAUUUUUUUUUCAGGACCUUUAUCUCCUUAUUAAAGUAAUCUUUUGCUUUCUGUGCUUGCUUAUGUAGCUCUUUGUAGAAAUGAUCUUUUACUGCCUGUGUUUGUUCUCUUAAAUCAUCCUUUAAUUCACAGAACAUUUUAGUUAUGUUCAUUCUGAACUCCUCAGUCAUUUCUUUUGCUGUGCUGGCCAUGGACUCUAAUAAUGUAGCAUGUUGGUUUGUUUGGCGCACUUUCUUCCCUUGUUUUUUUCAUGUUGUUCACGUCUCUUCCCUUCUAGCACUGUGGAUUCAAGGUGUUACCAUGUUUACCCCAUAUGCUUAUAGUGCUCCUGCAGGGUUCCGAUGCCUCUCCUUUAAGGAGGAUAAGAACAAUGUUUACAGAUCCCAAAUACAAACACUAUAUAACCUUAAACCUAGUAGUUGCUAUUAAGAUAUUUACAGCUUGGUCACAGUAUACAGAAAUGGUGAGUUCAAUUAUUAUCUUUAAUAUAAACUGUAGGUUUGCAAAAGGGUUUACAAUUUCUGAUGAUGGACAAAGAACUGGGGGUGAGGUGUACGAUGAGAUUUGGGGAGGGGGUAGGAGGUAAGGAUUUAGUUAUUAGAGUUUAGGAAGUGUGAAAGAGGACUCUAAAGAAGAUGGUUAGUAGCAGGCGAAGAGGAAGUGAUUUUAGGUAGACAAGUGGGAAGACAGUAGAGUAUAUAAAACAUCAAUAUUAAGAAAAAUAAAAAAUGUAAAAUAGGAGAAGAGACUAUACAACACAACUGUAAUAUACUAUUAGACAUCCUAGUCCUCAGUAUCCUAAUUCAUGCAAAGUACUUGGUUUCACAUGUGUUGGGGAUAUGAGGGCAAGAGAAUAGAGAGGGGGAGAGGAAAGAAAAAAAAACCUCGAAUGAAGAAACAAGGAUUUUUUUUUUUGGGGGGGGGGGGGUUAGAGAUCAGUAUCUUUCCUGCUUCCCUCCUCAUCCAAUAGGUGGGGUUGUCUCCUGUUUGCUGGUAUCUCCACCCUCAGGAUGUUGAAGGUUACCAGGUUGGGAGGGGUGGUCUUGGGUGCAGGGCACCUGGAAGUGGGUUAUGGCAUCCACCUGUCCCCUAUGGGACACCUCACCCCAAGGUUCUCCUUUGGGGUCCACUUAUGUGAUGUGGGCAUCUGGUCUUAUCUCCUUAUAUCUCCUGUAGGCCUCACAGUUCCUGCUGUCUAGUUUCUAAAUUGUAUCUCACUCAUCCUCUCCCUUUCUACUCCUAAUUCGAGACCUUUCUCUCCUGAGGUCUUGUUGGUGCUAACCAUCUGUCUUGGAGAGCUGUUUUGUAUUGGGCAGUCACUGUGCCUUUAGUGGCUGCCAGGGAAAGGGGGAUUAUAGGUACCUGCCCAGCUGGAGUUCAAAACUGGGAGUUGCCCCAACUAAAGGUGGCGACAAAGGUGACCCAAGAUGGAGGCAGCCUCUUUCAGGGUUGGGAAGUCAAAUCGGGUUGGGGGAGCGGGUGAUGUCAUUGGGUGAUGAUGUGU
rnacentral:lncRNA from 1 species